UUUUAAUGAAGUUCCUCUACCUGUGAGUAAGACAGGAAUGCGUGCAAAAUGCAAACAGUGCAACAAAGAAAUGCAAGAUCUGGUUGCCUGAAUGAAACAACCAUGAGAAGUGUUCCUUCUCAGUGGGAAGCUGC